UUGAAUAUCAAAUUUAAAAGUGCCGACAUGUUUGGUUUAUUGAACAUGUAGGAUAAUAGGGAAAUCGGUUAGAAUCCGAUGCAGCCCCCGCUACUGUAACGCUGAUGAAAUGAUAACACUCACUGGUAAAAUACUGGGAAGAGAUCAAAGUAAAGUGACGCGUAAGCCAGGAAACCUGCUUUUAUAAUUAUGAACGAU
rnacentral:ncRNA from 23 species